ACGUACACUCCUACGGGAGGCAGCAGUGGGGAAUAUUGCACAAUGGGCGCAAGCCUGAUGCAGCCAUGCCGCGUGUGUGAAGAAGGCCUUCGGGUUGUAAAGCACUUUCAGCGUGGAGGAAGGCAAUGCGGUUAAUAACCGUGUUGAUUGACGUUACCCGCAGAAGAAGCACCGGCUAACUCCGUGCCAGCAGCCGCGGUAAUACGGAGGGUGCAAGCGUUAAUCGGAAUUACUGGGCGUAAAGCGCACGCAGGCGGUCUGUCAAGUCGGAUGUGAAAUCCCCGGGCUCAACCUGGGAACUGCAUUCGAAACUGGCAGGCUUGAGUCUUGUAGAGGGGGGUAGAAUUCCAGGUGUAGCGGUGAAAUGCGUAGAGAUCUGGAGGAAUACCGGUGGCGAAGGCGGCCCCCUGGACAAAGACUGACGCUCAGGUGCGAAAGCGUGGGGAGCAAACAGGAUUAGAUACCCUAGUAGUCCCAUGAU
rnacentral:rRNA from 1 species